rnacentral:lncRNA from 1 species
ACCCCUCCCAGAGCUGGGUCUCCACCCUCUGCCAGCCCCCCAACUCCUCCCAGAGCUGGGUCUCCACCCCCUGUCAGCCCUCCACACACUGCCACCCCUCCCAGAGCUGGGUCUCCACCCCCUGCCAGCCCCCCAACCCCUCCCAGGGCUGGGUCUCCACUUCUUCAUUCUCUACCCUCUGCCACCCCCCCUUCCCCAGUGUCUCUGAGCCAGCCCCCAGAUACGUUUCUGCCCAUGGAGGAGGAUGCCCCUUGCUUGGGUCCCAUAUCAUCCCAGGGCCCCACUGAGGGCUCCCUGCUGGCAGAGCUGGUGCCCACUGAGGGGCCCCAUGGCAGUCUCCCAGAUGUGCCAACUGGGCCCCUCGCUAACCCCACUAAUCCAUCAUUGGCUGGAGGGGAGCCUGCUCAAAGCUGCCCAGUUCUCUCCAGCGCAGAGUCCUGCUCCCUGGAAUCUCUGCCUCAGUCCGUGCCCCCGUGGCCCUGGCAUCCUGGCCCCUCCACGGCUGCAGCCCCCAUGCCUGGCGAGGACCCCAUGGCAGGUGGGGAGGCACUGCCGGAGCCCUCCCACGGGCCCUGCCUGGCGCCAGAGGCCAGCCUGGCGGAGCUCCUCCCGGAGUCAGGACACAACGGCAUAGCAGGGCAGGAGCUCAGGGAGCUGGAGCUGGAGCCAGGAGAGAAGGGGACACAGCCUGGGUCUCUCUGCAAGGCGGCGCUGGAGGAGGGGGAGACCGUUGAGGGCCCCUCCCUCCGUACUGCGUAGACAGCAGGGGCUGCCGGACCCCCGCACUCAUCCUACCCACAGAGCCCGCGUGGGCUCGGCUUUAUGACUGCAACGUGCCAGGGGGCUGCUUGGAUUGCACCCCCCCGGGCCCUUCUAAGAACCAGCAAUUCCCCCCUCCCCCCACUCUGGGGGUGCCUGCGCUCUGAACCCCCAGCACCUCGGUCUCUGCUCGCUGGGUGAGCCCCCGACCCACCACGUUACCCUGCAACCUGGGCCGUGGCCUCCACGGCCAAAUAAAGGAGCUGUGGGAACUGGCCGUGGGUCUGGC